UGAAGCUUAGCUCUGUGUACGUUUGUAGUUCAGCAAACCUGCAAUGAGCAACGAUGAGAUCCUUCAAACAACUACUGAGAUGUCCUACUGCAAGCUGAUGAAAAACUGGACAAAUUAGAAGUAUUCUCUGUACUGCUACAUCAACAACUUGGUGGAGAGAUGGAUGACUUACAAUCAUUACUACUUGAAUCUAAGUAAAUUGUCAACUUUAAGAUACAAACUAUAUUAAGAGGUUAUAAAAUGUACUCUACUGAUUAAACUAAACUUAAAUUUAAACCAUUGAGUUAUAUUCUGUUGUAACAUUAUUUGUAAAACUAAAGAUUUAAGCUACUCAAGACUAAAUACUCUGUAGCAUAAAGAAUCGGGGAAGUUUCCCAGAGUCA